rnacentral:rRNA from 1 species
AGUGAACGCUGGCGGUAGGCCUAACACAUGCAAGUCGAACGGCAGCACAGUAAGAGCUUGCUCUUACGGGUGGCGAGUGGCGGACGGGUGAGGAAUACAUCGGAAUCUACUUUUUCGUGGGGGAUAACGUAGGGAAACUUACGCUAAUACCGCAUACGACCUACGGGUGAAAGCCGGGGAUCUUCGGACCUUGCGCGAUUGAAUGAGCCGAUGUCGGAUUAGCUAGUUGGCGGGGUAAAGGCCCACCAAGGCGACGAUCCGUAGCUGGUCUGAGAGGAUGAUCAGCCACACUGGAACUGAGACACGGUCCAGACUCCUAAGGGAGGCAGCAGUGGGGAAUAUUGGACAAUGGGCGCAAGCCUGAUCCAGCCAUACCGCGUGGGUGAAGAAGGCCUUCGGGUUGUAAAGCCCUUUUGUUGGGAAAGAAAAGCAGCAGGUUAAUACCCCGCUGUUCUGACGGUACCCAAAGAAGAAGCACCGGCUAACUUCGUG